rnacentral:rRNA from 1 species
AACGAACGCUGGCGGCAUGCCUAACACAUGCAAGUCGAACGAGACCUUCGGGUCUAGUGGCGCACGGGUGCGUAACGCGUGGGAAUCUGCCCUUCGGUUGGGAAUAACUGAGAGAAAUUUCAGCUAAUACCUUAUAAUGUCUUCGGACCAAAGAUUUAUCGCCGAGGGAUGAGCCCGCGUAGGAUUAGGUAGUUGGUGGGGUAAUGGCCUACCAAGCCGACGAUCCUUAGCUGGUCUGAGAGGAUGAUCAGCCACACUGGGACUGGGACACGGCCCAGACUCCUACGGGAGGCAGGAGUGGGGGAUAUUGGAAAAUGGGCGAAAGCCUGAUCCAGCAAUGCCGCGUGAGUGAUGAAGGCCUUAGGGUUGUAAAGCUCUUUUACCCGGGAUGAUAAUGACAGUACCGGGAGAAUAAGCUCCGGCUAACUCCGUG